rnacentral:rRNA from 1 species
GACGAACGCUGGCGGCGUGCUUAACACAUGCAAGUCGAACGAUGAACCUCGAAAUGAUUUCUUCGGAAAGAUUUUUGAGAGGAUUAGUGGCGAACGGGUGAGUAACGCGUGAGCAACCUGCCUUAGACAAGGGGAUAGCCUCGGGAAACCGUGAUUAAUACCCUAUGAGACUCCACUUACGAGUGUAAGAGAAGGUAAAGCUAUUGCGGUCUAGGAUGGGCGCGCGUCUGAUUAGCUAGUUGGUGAGAUAAAAGCCCACCAAGGCGACGAUCAGUAACCGGCAUGAGAGAGUGAACGGUCACAUUGGAACUGGGACACGGUCCAAACUCCUACGGGAGGCAGCAGUGGGGAAUAUUGCACAAUGGGGGCAACCCUGAUGCAGCGACGCCGCGUGAGCGAUGAAGGAAUUCGUUUAGUAAAGCUCUGUCAUUGGAGAAGAUAAUGACGGUAACCAAGGAGGAAGCACCGGCUAAAUACGUG